AGGGCGUACGGUGGAUGCCUUGGCGAUAUCAGCCGAAGAAGGACGCGGUAAGCUGCGAUAAGCUACGGAGAGGUGCAAGCAACCUUUGACCCGUAGAUUUCCGAAUGGGGGAACCCGGCAGUGGUUAUGCACUGUCACCCAUACCUUUGAGUAUGAGGAGGGCACCUGGGGAACUGAAACAUCUAAUUACCCAGAGGAAGAGUAAUCAAACGAGAUUUUCUUAGUAGCGGCGAGCGAACGGGAAAGAGGCCAAACCGGAGCGGGCAACCGCACCGGGGUUGAGGACAGUCAUCAAGUGUAAAUGAGGUAGAAGAAUCGAGUUGGAAAGCUCAGCCGUAGAAGGUGAAAGCCCUGUAAUCGAAACCUUGCAUACAUGGGACUGUAUCCAGAGUACCACGAGACACGUGAAACCUUGUGGGAAGCAGGGGGGACCACCCUCCAAGCCAAAAUACUGAUAUCGACCGAUAGCGCAUAGUACCGUGAGGGAAAGGUGAAAAGAACCCCUGGCGGGGAGUGAAAGAGAACCUGAAACCGUAUGUCUACAAACAGUCGAAGUCUGUAUAUAUAUCAGGACGACGGCGUGCCUAUUGAAGAAUGAACCGACGAGUUACUGUUGCUAGCGAGGUUAAGUGGAACACAUGGAGCCGCAGCGAAAGCGAGUCUGAACAGGGCGUUCAGUUAGUGAUAGUAGACCCGAAACCGUAGUGAUCUAUCCAUGGCCAGGUUGAAGCACAGGUAAAAUUGUGUGGAGGACCGAACUCGUGAGCGUUGAAAAGCUUUGGGAUGAGUUGUGGAUAGGGGUGAAAUGCCAAUCGAACACGGAGAUAGCUGGUUCUCCCCGAAAUAGCUUUAGGGCUAGCCUCGAGGUUGAGAGUAUAGGCGGUAGAGCACUGAUCGGGCUAGGGGCCAUACCGGUUACCGAACCUAGUCAAACUACGAAUGGCUAUACUUAUACUCGGGAGUCAGACAGUGAAUGAUAAGGUCCAUUGUCAAGAGGGAAACAGCCCAGAACACCGACUAAGGUCCCCAAUGUUACACUAAGUGGCGAAGGAUGUGGAAUUUCCAAAACAACCAGGAUGUUGGCUUAGAAGCAGCCACCAUUUAAAGAGUGCGUAAUAGCUCACUGGUCGAGAGACUCUGCGCCGAAAAUGUCCGGGGCUAAAGUGUAAAACCGAAGUCGUGUCAUAUGCAGCAAUGUAUAUGGGUAGGGGAGCGUUCUCAUCGGGCUGAAGCAGUACCGUAAGGAGUUGUGGACUGAUGAGAAGUGAGAAUGUCGGUAUGAGUAGCGAAAAGAAUGGUGAGAAUCCAUUCCACCGAAAGCCUAAGGGUUCCUGAGCAACGAUCGUCGUCUCAGGGUAAGUCGGGACCUAAGCCGAGGCGGAAAAGCGUAGGCGAUGGACAACAGGUUGAAAUUCCUGUACCGGUGUGAAUCGUUUGAUCGAUGGAGUGACACAGUAAGGUAGGUCAGCACGCGAUUGGAAGUGCGUGUUUAAGCAGGUAGGUUGAGCUAUAGGCAAAUCCGUAGCUCUAAAAGCUGAGAUGUGAUGACGAGUGACUAGCAAUAGUCGCGAAGUGAUUGAUCCUACACUGUCGAGAAAAGCUUCUAGGUAGAGACACAUCGCCCGUACCAAAACCGACACAGGUAGGCGGGGAGAGAAUCCUAAGGUGCGCGGGAAAACCCUCGUUAAGGAACUCGGCAAAUUGCAUCCGUAACCUAGGGAGAAGGAUGGCCCCCGGUCAGUGAAGAGCAGAAACGCUCAGAGCUAAAAGGGGCGGCAGAAAAGAGGCCCAAGCAACUGUUUACCAAAAACACAGGUGCCUGCGAAAGCGAAAGCUGAAGUAUAGGUGCUGACGCCUGCCCGGUGCCGGAAGGUUAAGGAGAGAAGUUAGCGAAAGCGAAGCAUCGAACUGAAGCCCCGGUGAACGGCGGCCGUAACUAUAACGGUCCUAAGGUAGCGAAAUUCCUUGUCGGGUAAGUUCCGACCCGCACGAAAGGCGUAAUGAUUUGGGCACUGUCUCAACGAGAGACUCGGUGAAAUUUUAGUACCUGUGAAGAUGCAGGUUACCCGCGACAGGACGGAAAGACCCCAUGGAGCUUUACUG
rnacentral:rRNA from 1 species